rnacentral:rRNA from 1 species
GACGAACGCUGGCGGCGUGCUUAACACAUGCAAGUCGAACGGAAAGGCCCUGCUUUUGUGGGGUGCUCGAGUGGCGAACGGGUGAGUAACACGUGGGUAACCUGCCCUUGACUUUGGGAUAACUUCAGGAAACUGGGGCUAAUACCGGAUAGGAGCUCCUGCUGCAUGGUGGGGGUUGGAAAGUUUCGGCGGUUGGGGAUGGACUCGCGGCUUAUCAGCUUGUUGGUGGGGUAGUGGCUUACCAAGGCUUUGACGGGUAGCCGGCCUGAGAGGGUGACCGGCCACAUUGGGACUGAGAUACGGCCCAGACUCCUACGGGAGGCAGCAGUGGGGAAUAUUGCACAAUGGGCGGAAGCCUGAUGCAGCAACGCCGCGUGCGGGAUGACGGCCUUCGGGUUGUAAACCGCUUUCGCCUGUGACGAAGCGUGAGUGACGGUAAUGGGGAAAGAAGCACCGGCUAACUACGU